rnacentral:rRNA from 1 species
GACGAACGCUGGCGGCGUGCUUAACACAUGCAAGUCGAACGGUGAAGCGCCUUCCUUUUUGGUGGGUGUGGAUGAGUGGCGAACGGGUGAGUAACACGUGAGUAACCUGCCCCCUUCUUCUGGAUAACCGCAUGAAAGUGUGGCUAAUACGGGAUAUUCUGGGUCUGUCGCAUGAUGGGUCUGGGAAAGAUAUUGUUUCGGUGGGGGAUGGGCUCGCGGCCUAUCAGCUUGUUGGUGGGGUGUUGGCCUACCAAGGCGGUGACGGGUAGCGGGCCUGAGAGGGGGGACGGCCCAACGGGGAGUGGGCCAAGGCCAGAACUCCAACGGGAGGCAGCGGGGGGGAUAAUUGACAAAGGGGGACAGGCCGGAGGCGGCGCGGCGGGGUGGGGGAGGGGGCCUUCGGGUUGUGAACCUCUUUCGCCAGUGAAGCAGGCCUGCCUCGUUUGUGGGUGGGUUGACGGUAGCUGGAUAAGAAGCGCCGGCUAACUACGUG